rnacentral:rRNA from 1 species
GUCGUAACAAGGUUUCCGUAGGUGAACCUGCGGAAGGAUCAUUAUCGACAACGGGGCCCUUCGGGGCCUCAUCCCCCAUCCGAUGCAUACUUACCGAGUCGCUUUGGCGAGCGCGGGGAGAACGGUCGCCCGUCAUCUCCCCUCGGGUUCGUCGAUGGCCCCCCCAUCAACCCACUGUCAUUCAUGUUGUCCGAACACAUCAAAUAGCACAAAACUUUCAACAACGGAUCUCUUGGUUCCGGCAUCGAUGAAGAACGCAGCGAAAUGCGAUAAGUAAUGUGAAUUGCAGAGUUCAGUGAAUCAUCGAAUCUUUGAACGCACAUUGCGCCCCCUGGCAUUCCGGGGGGCAUGCCUGUUCGAGCGUCAUUGCAUCCCUCAAGCUUUGCUUGGUGUUGGGUGGUCGUUCCAAGGGACGCCCCCGAAACUCAGCGGCGAUGCGGCCGUGGUCCCAAGCGCAGUCGGAUGGUUUCAUUCGCUUCGGGAGCCGUGGUCGGGUCCGCCGGACAAGCCCUUAGAACUUCUACGAUUGACCUCGGAUCAGGUAGGAAUACCCGCUGAACUUAAGCAUAUCAAUAAGCGGAGGAAAAGAAACCAACAGGGAUUGCCUCAGUAACGGCGAGUGAAGCGGCAUCAGCUCAAAUUUGAAAUCUGGCCCCCGCGGUCCGAGUUGUAAUUUGCAGAGGACGUCUCGGGGGGCGGUGUCGGUCUAAGUUCCUUGGAACAGGACGUCGCAGAGGGUGAGAAUCCCGUACGUGACCGGUGGCCCCCCCCAUGCGAGGCCCCUUCGACGAGUCGAGUUGUUUGGGAAUGCAGCUCUAAAUGGGUGGUAAAUUUCAUCUAAAGCUAAAUACUGGCCGGAGACCGAUAGCGCACAAGUAGAGUGAUCGAAAGAUGAAAAGCACUUUGGAAAGAGAGUCAAACAGUACGUGAAAUUGUUGAAAGGGAAGCGCUUGCGACCAGACUUGCUCGCGGGUGAUCAUCCGUCCCUCGGGGGCGGUGCACUCGCCCGCGAUCAGGCCAGCAUCGGUUCUGGCGGCCGGACAAAGAGCCCGGGAACGUAGCUUCUUUCAGGGAGUGUUAUAGCCCGGGCUGCCAUGCGGCCAGCCGGGACCGAGGACCGCGCUUCGGCUAGGAUGCUGGCGCAAUGGUCGUCAGCGACC